GGAUGUGAAGGUAAUCUGGCUGUGACAUUUGUCACAUUAUUGAUUGCCAGGGCUGAUUCCACUGAUCUGGCUGACUAGGUGGGUGUCUCCUUCCUCCCUCACUCCAUGUGCAUUCCUCCCAAAGACAGGCUCUGGGUCAAAGAGGACGACCUUUCCUGAAGAGGAGGACUAUCCUUUGUUCAAGGGCAUAUGAGUAGCUGCACUCCCAUUACAACCUCCAGACAAGCCCUCAUAAAAUUUAUGGAGAAAUUGGAAAUAGAAGGAACAUAUAUAACAAAUAAUAACACUAUAUAUGACAAAUCUAUAGUGAACCUUA
rnacentral:snRNA from 1 species